UCAAUGUGAAUCUGCAUGUUUAUAAGCAUGGCUGUUUGAGACACGGAGGAAGAAAAUGGCCUAAUGGAUCCAUGUAAAUGAAGAUGGAGAGUAAAUAGACGUGGAAAUUUUGAAAUUGGGCUGGCAUGCUAAUCAGAGGCAGACGGGAGACACCAAUCAGUCUUCCAGGACGGAGACCGGGCACAUCCAAUGGCACUUCUUAUUUCCAUUCUCCACGCUCGUAAAUCCUGUCAACUCCCUCACACACAGACAGCGGCUGCAUUUCACGCUGUUCUCUGAGCCACAAUCAGCAGAGCUACAGUCUCUGUGGCUGGAGGAGAGGAGAGAGGGAAUGAGACAGAGGGAGAGAGAUUUAUGUUUUUUUUUUUAAUUUGGAUCCCCAUUAGCUGUUAAAGAAGCAGCAGCUAUUCUUCCUGGCAUCUACACAAAACAUAGGACAAAAUACAGAACACUAAUGGACUUGAGGAAAACAGCUGCAGUGCAGCAAGGCAGUUUGAUGGCACUGGGUCUGACUCCCAUCAUGGUAUUACAGUCACAUGGUAUCACUCUGCACAAAACCAAUAUCAGCAUCAACAGCACUUUGGCUAUACCGUAAACCAUUCUCUCUGCAACUCCUCUGAUUCCUCACGAGGCCAAGACUAACACACACACACUCUACUCUACUCUACUCUGGAGUGGCACAUUUGGAGUGGCUGACCAGCGAGGAGCAGAGAAGUGUUAAUGCUGUCGGGGAGGAGAAAGGCUGAGCCCUGAGUGGUUUGUUGUCUCCCUCUGUGAAUUACACAUUCUGUUGACAGUAGAUGGGAUUCUGCCAUCUGAAGAAUUACAGCUGUACAUAGGGAUGUCAAGUGCCACUCAGCGAGGAGUCUCCACUAUGAUUGCAAUCAAUAUCGGUUAAAGUGGAGGUUAACAGCACAGUGACUGUCAGUAGUUUCAGCUGGUUGGUUAUUGGCAUCGUAUCUGUGAACUAUUGACACAUAAUUUCCCUUCCCACAGAUUCCCUCCGAGAGGCUCUUAGUAACUUGAAGCAGAUAACACAAAAGUUCAAUUUCAAUCAAAAGUACUGCAAAGCAACACAAAAUAUAUAAGUAGUUUACGCUUUUUGCUUUCAAAUAAACAACUAUUUCCACAAAGAAAGCAAAGAGAAUUAGAGAAACCUAGGAGAUUCUGCAAAAAUAUGAGCAAGGAAGAUAUCAGCAACCCAAAACUGAUUCAGAUUGCUACCAUAUAAAGGACAAAACUAUAAGAAUAGCUGUAAAUAUAGUUGUUUCUGGGGAAUUUGUAAGGGAAAAUACAUCCAAAGCGUUCCUUAUAAUUUGGUCAAUAUAUCCCAACCACAACUGAAAUAACAAUUUCUGUAUUACUUGAAACUGUUGGUCAGUUCAGAAAGUAACCACGCCUGGCAAUUUUAUGCAGAACCACUGUAUGAAAGUCAGUUCUGGAUCUGUUCAGUUCGAUUGAACGUUUCUACAUUGUAUAAUGUCUUGUACUGAACAACACAUUACCCCAAAACACUUUUCAACAUUCUUGAACAGACUUUGAGGUAGCUUACGUUUGCUCCAUUUGGUGGGUGUGGCGGGGUGUGGCUUGAAGCAAUGAGUGGCGUACUUGAAGCGCAGCGGUACAUUUUGAACCCACAACCCACCCCUCCCCAUUUUUCAACUGGUCAUUCAACAGCACUGUUUCAAUUUAAUUUAACCUUGCAUUACAUUUUUUCGUACUGAACGCAGCCCUGGUGACUUUUCUACUCCAAAAUGUAUGGUGGCAUCAUUCAAAUAUAAUUUUCCCCUCCAAAAAAUGUUCCUAACUGAUUUAGUUUAGUAGCUAUAACUAAAUAGGCUGAAGCAUCGGGUUGCCCAUCUGUAUUUGUGCUAAUCAUUAGCUAGAUCAAUGCAUCUCAAACUUUUUCAGUCAUGGCCACCUUUCAUCAUGGGGGAACAUUCUAUGUCCCCUCACCUCCCUCAAUUAAAUGAACUGCAACUAUUGUUACACAAAAAUAAAUUAUAAGAAUACCUUUUAUUCAUCAAAAAACAGUAUAUACAAACACCAGUAUCUGGUUUCUCUUCCAUAUUGAACUAAAAACAACUAUUAAUGAAGGAGAAAUAAACCUGCUUAUUGCUGUGCAAUAUCACAUCCAUCUCUAUCAAUAAAGACUAUUGUCAUGACUCUUCUAUGAUGAUCCAAAAGAUCAGAUUGCAGUGGAUCAGCUCUACAGAGUUAUAUCUCGCACAGAGGGGGGAGGGAUGGAUGUGGGGGUUUUAUGACACUUCACGUCGGUCAUAAACCAUUGGCAGCUGACAAUUCCUUUUGGGGUCUAGUUUGGGUGAUUGGAAUGUCUGUGUGCCUUAUGAAGAGUUUGCUGCCCAAAAACUACAACAUCAAACAAUGGACACUGGAACAACAUAUUUCAACAUCUUAAUUUCAUUAAAAAAUUAAUGGCUGUACACCACCAUGGUACAAAGAUUGUCUUAGGGUCAUUUUUGACCCGGCAGUUAUAAAAUCAUUUACACACCACACACACACCACACACACACACACACACACAAUGAUAAAUUGAGAUUGUGUGAUACUGACUGAACUCAGACAAAACAAAAAUAUUGUGCAUGUGCAGCAUCUCCCCUCAACUACCCCACAUGACUCAAGUUCACAGACGAAAUAAAAAACAUUUUAGACAAAAUAAAAACAAUUUCAGACAAAAUAAACAUUUCUUGAAAGCAUUGUUUACAAAUGGGGAAUGGAAUCAGAGGCUAUGCACUCCUCUCAACAAGGGGGAGAGAGGCCUUCUCAUCAAAGUUUGCCUUCACCCCCACCACCACUCUAGUUUCUUACCUCCCAAAGAGGAACAGGAAUGUGGUCCCCCCCAUGCACACUGCACAAAAUGGCUGAGAUCAGUAUACAUGAGGACAGGAAGCCAGCCAUCAUCCUGGACUACAACCACAACAAAGGAGGCGUGGAAAACCUGGACAAGGUGAUUGGAACUUAGAGCUGCAGGAGGAUUACUGCCUGCUGGCCCCUGGUCAUCUUCCAUAACAUCAUUAAUGUGUCCUCAUACAAUGCCUUUGUGAUAUGGAACAAG